rnacentral:tRNA from 1 species
GUUCCGAUGGUUUAGUGGUAAAAUCCGAGCUUCCCAUACCUUUCUAGGAUGGUCAGGACAUAGUCCUGGAGCUUGCUCGGGCCCCGGGUUCGAUUCCCGGUCGGUACA